UACGUAGGGUGCAAGCGUUAAUCGGAAUUACUGGGCGUAAAGCGUGCGCAGGCGGUUGUGCAAGACAGAUGUGAAAUCCCCGGGCUCAACCUGGGAAUUGCAUUUGUGACUGCACGGCUAGAGUGUGUCAGAGGGGGGUAGAAUUCCACGUGUAGCAGUGAAAUGCGUAGAGAUGUGGACGGAAUACCGAGUGGCGAAGGCAGCCCCCUGGGAUAACACUGACGCUCAU
rnacentral:rRNA from 1 species